rnacentral:rRNA from 1 species
GACGAACGCUGGCGGCGUGCUUCAUACAUGCAAGUCGAACGAGAAGCUGACUUCGGUCAGUGGACAGUGGCGGACGGGUGAGUAAUAUGUAGGAAAUCUGCCUUUAGGAGGGGGACAACAGAGGGAAACUUCUGCUAAUACCCCAUAUGAGCGUAGCUGAAAUGCUCUUCUUGAAAACUCCGGUGCCUAAAGAUGAGCCUGCAUCUGAUUAGCUAGUUGGUAGUGUAAUGGACUACCAAGGCGACGAUCAGUAGCUGGUUUGAGAGGAUGAUCAGCCACAAGGGGACUGAGACACGGCCCAUACUCCUACGGGAGGCAGCAGUAGGGAAGUUUGCGCAAUGGGCGAAAGCCUGACGCAGCGACGCCGCGUGAACGAUUAAGCCCUUCGGGGUGUAAAGUUCUGUCAGUGGGGACGAAACUUGACGGUACCCACAGAGGAAGCACCGGCUAACUCCGUG